rnacentral:rRNA from 1 species
GACGAACCGAGCAAACGUUAUUCGGAAUCACUGGGCUUAAAGGGCGCGUAGGCGGGUAUUCAAGUCCGUGGUGAAAUCCGGCAGCUCAACUGUCGAACUGCCGCGGAUACUGGGUAUCUCGAGGGAGGUAGGGGCGUGCGGAACUAUUGGUGGAGCGGUGAAAUGCGUUGAUAUCAAUAGGAACUCCGGUGGCGAAGGCGGCACGCUGGACCUCUUCUGACGCUGAGGCGCGAAAGCCAGGGGAGCAAACGGG